CCCUUAGAGUUUGAUCCUGGCUCAGGAUGAACGCUAGCUACAGGCUUAACACAUGCAAGUCGAGGGGCAGCAUGAUUGAAGCUUGCUUCAAUCGAUGGCGACCGGCGCACGGGUGAGUAACACGUAUCCAACCUGCCGAUAACUCGGGGAUAGCCUUUCGAAAGAAAGAUUAAUACCCGAUAGCAUAGUAUUUCCGCAUGGUUUCACUAUUAAAGAACUUCGGUUAUCGAUGGGGAUGCGUUCCAUUAGAUAGUUGGCGGGGUAACGGCCCACCAAGUCAACGAUGGAUAGGGGUUCUGAGAGGAAGGUCCCCCACAUUGGAACUGAGACACGGUCCAAACUCCUACGGGAGGCAGCAGUGAGGAAUAUUGGUCAAUGGACGAGAGUCUGAACCAGCCAAGUAGCGUGAAGGAUGACUGCCCUAUGGGUUGUAAACUUCUUUUAUACGGGAAUAAAGUGGAGUAUGCAUACUCCUUU
rnacentral:rRNA from 1 species